rnacentral:rRNA from 1 species
UACAGAGGUCUCAAGCGUUGUUCGGAUUCACUGGGCGUAAAGGGUGCGCAGGCGGCCAAGUGUGUUAGGCGUGAAAGCCCGGGGCUUAACCCCGGAAUUGCACCUAAAAACUACAUGGCUAGAGCAUUGGAGAGGGUAGCGGAAUUCACGGUGUAGCAGUGAAAUGCGCAGAUAUCAAGGAGGAACACCAGUGGCGAAGGCGGUGCUCUGGGCCGGAACUGACGCUGAGGCGCGAAAGCUAGGGGAGCAAACAGG